rnacentral:ncRNA from 2 species
GAGUUAUAUAGUUUGUAGUUGGCCCGGUUCCCAGCACAUGUAUGUUGAAUUAAAUAUCAUAUUGUACUGCGACUCGGGCCAAUUAUUAGCUCA